CAACUGCAACGGAGCUUAUCGAUACGGGUAUCGAAAACGAAGACCUGAACAGCACAAGCAUGUCAGCGUUACGAUUCCCAACAUUUAGUUUGAUUGUGAAGAUGAUCAAAUAAGCAGCCUUCAGGAACUAAUAAUGCAUCACUCUGGAAUGGACCUUCUGUAAAAUAAAAUUGAUUAUGGCAUCUUCUGUGAUAUGCAUCUAUACGGCUUCACCCAUCGGGAGAGUUUACACUUGUUCUUGCCAGGUUUGCACCAGCCACUAACUCGAAC